rnacentral:lncRNA from 1 species
GGAAAUUGAAGCAUGAAUUAGAUAGCAUAAGUGGUGAUUUUCGGAGGAUUUGAAGUUAUUGGAGGUCAUUUCUUCAAGGGGCUUCUUCUAUUAUCAUUGUUUAUGAAUUAUGGUAUUUUUAAUUACAUUAUGAGUAGCUAAAUUCUUCUAUAUUAGGUUGUGUUAUGAUGAACCUGUUUCUCAAUUGUUGGAUUCUAUGUUGAUUUGACCACUGUAUGAACCUAUUGAUCUAUAAUUUUAUUCAAUUGCUUCUUGUUCGUAAUUCUUUCUAUGUGAGAUACCUUUUAAAUUUGAUUUUGGGCACAUUGGGAAUAUUG